GAUGAAGAACGCAGCGAAAUGCGAUACGUAAUGUGAAUUGCAGAAUUCAGUGAAUCAUCGAGUCUUUGAACGCACAUUGAGCCCCCUGGUAUUCCGGGGGGCAUGCCUGUCCGAGCGUCAUUGCUGCCCUCAAGCACGGCUUGUGUGUUGGGCCUCCGUCCUCCUCCCGGGGGACGGGCCCGAAAGGCAGCGGCGGCACCGCGUCCGGUCCUCGAGCGUAUGGGGCUUCGUCACCCGCUCUUGUAGGCCCGGCCGGCGCUUGCCGACACAUCAAUCUUUUUUCCAGGUUGACCUCGGAUCAGGUAGGGAUACCCUCUGAACUUAAGCAUAUCAAUAAGCGGAGGA
rnacentral:misc_RNA from 1 species